rnacentral:rRNA from 1 species
AGCAGCCGCGGUAAAUUCCAGCUCCAAUAGCGUAUAUUAAAGUUGUUGCAGUUAAAAAGCUCGUAGUUGAAUUUCGGGAUCGAUACGUCGGUCGUGCCUUCGGUACGUACUGUCGUCAUCGAUUUCUCCCUUCUGACGAACCAUGAUGUCAUUAAUUUGGUGUUAUGGGAAAUCAGGACUGUUACUUUGAAAAAAUUAGAGUGUUUAAAGCAGGCAUUAGCUUGAAUACAUUAGCAUGGAAUAAUGAAAUAGGACGUUCGAACCUAUUUUGUUGGUUUUUAGGAUCAACGUAAUGAUUAAUAGGGAUAGUUGGGGGCAUUAGUAUUCAAUUGUCAGAGGUGAAAUUCUUGGAUUUAUUGAAGACUAACUACUGCGAAAGCAUUUGCCAAGGAUGUUUUCA